rnacentral:lncRNA from 1 species
UCGAAAGAUAAUAGAAUAGAUAACCAACCGUUCGAGUACUUAACCCGUUAAACAUUUUGAUCAAAACGUCACAACUUACUUCGAGCCACUGCACGCGUUGACCCAAUUAUGAUGGGCCGUGCCAAGCUAGAAUUUUAAGCUCAAAGAACCACGAGGACUUGCUCGGGCAAUUGGAUUUAUUGAAAAUAUUGUAUUAUUAGGAGUAAACUCUACU